GGUCAGUAGAUUAGACCUAAAACAGUCGAUUCGUGGUGGAAGGUUACACACCUAAAACAACCUA
rnacentral:ncRNA from 1 species